GGGCGUGUGGUCUAGUGGUAUGAUUCUCGCUUUGGGUGGUUCUACUUAGUGGGCUACAAAUAUGCGAGAGGUCCUGGGUUCAAUUCCCAGUAUGCCCC
rfam:Zygosaccharomyces bailii CLIB 213 genomic, scaffold06